CAGUGACAUGAUCUCGGCUCACUGAAGUGCAGUGACACGAUCUCGGCUCCACCUCCUGGGUUCAAGCGAUUCUUCUGCCUCAGCCUCCCGAGUAGCUGGGACUACAGUUGGUGGCUAAAGGAGUUAAGAGUUCUGAUGUUUCUCCACCUUUGGGACAGCAUGAAACAGGUGGCUCUCCAUCAAAGCAACAGAUGAGAUCUGUUAUUUCUGUAACUUCAGCUUUGAAAGAAGUUGGCGUGGACUGCUAAUUCCUGACUACUUUACUGGGACAGUAGUUUAACUGAUACCCGGGAAACUUCAGAAGAGAUGCAAAAGACCAACAAUGCUAUUUCAGUAAGUAAAAUUUUCAAAGUUUAUCAAUCAUUUUACUUAAUGAUAUACAUAUUAAAAUAUAUAAUGUCGUGACUUUCAGAGUAAGCGAGAAAUACUUCGUAGAUUAAAUGAAAAUCUUAAAGCUCAAGAAGAUGAAAAAGGAAAGCAGAAUCUCUCUGAUACUUGUGAGAUAAAUGUUCAUGAAGAUGCCAAAGAGCAUGAAAAAGAAAAAUCAGUUUCAUCUGAUCGCAAGAAGUGGGAGGCAGGAGGUCAACUUGUGAUUCCUCUGGAUGAGUUAACACUAGAUACAUCCUUCUCUACAACUGAAAGACAUACAGUGGGAGAAGUUAUUAAAUUAGGUCCUAAUGGAUCUCCAAGAAGAGCCUGGGGGAAAAGUCCGACAGAUUCUGUUCUAAAGAUACUUGGAGAAGCUGAACUACAACUUCAGACAGAACUAUUAGAAAAUACAACUAUUAGAAGUGAGAUUUUUCCCGAAGGGGAAAAGUACAAACCCUUAAUUACUGGAGAAAAAAAAGUACAAUGUAUUUCACAUGAAAUAAACCCAUCAGCUAUUGUUGAUUCUCCUGUUGAGACAAAAAGUCCCGAGUUCAGUGAGGCAUCUCCACAGAUGUCAUUGAAACUGGAAGGAAAUUUAGAAGAACCUGAUGAUUUGGAAACAGAAAUUCUACAAGAGCCAAGUGGAACAAACAAAGAUGAGAGCUUGCCGUGCACUAUUACUGAUGUGUGGAUUAGUGAGGAAAAAGAAACAAAGGAAACUCAGUCGGCAGAUAGGAUCACCAUUCAGGAAAAUGAAGUUUCUGAAGAUGGAGUCUCGAGUACUGUGGACCAACUUAGUGACAUUCAUAUAGAGCCUGGAACCAAUGAUUCUCAGCACUCUAAAUGUGAUGUAGAUAAGUCUGUGCAACCAGAACCAUUUUUCCAUAAGGUGGUUCAUUCUGAACACUUGAACUUAGUCCCUCAAGUUCAAUCAGUUCAGUGUUCACCAGAAGAAUCCUUUGCAUUUCGAUCUCACUCGCAUUUACCACCAAAAAAUAAAAACAAGAAUUCCUUGCUGAUUGGACUUUCAACUGGUCUGUUUGAUGCAAACAACCCAAAGAUGUUAAGGACAUGUUCACUUCCAGAUCUCUCAAAGCUGUUCAGAACCCUUAUGGAUGUUCCCACCGUAGGAGAUGUUCGUCAAGACAAUCUUGACAUAGAUGAAAUUGAAGAUGAAAACAUUAAAGAAGGACCUUCUGAUUCUGAAGACAUUGUGUUUGAAGAAACUGACACAGAUUUACAAGAGCUGCAGGCCUCGAUGGAACAGUUGCUUAGGGAACAACCUGGUGAAGAAUACAGUGAAGAAGAAGAGUCAGUCUUGAAGAACAGUGAUGUGGAGCCAACUGCAAAUGGGACAGAUGUGGCAGAUGAAGAUGACAAUCCCAGCAGUGAAAGUGCCCUGAACGAAGAAUGGCACUCAGAUAACAGUGAUGGUGAAAUUGCUAGUGAAUGUGAAUGUGAUAGUGUCUUUAACCAUUUAGAGGAACUGAGACUUCAUCUGGAACAGGAAAUGGGCUUUGAAAAAUUCUUUGAGGUUUAUGAGAAAAUAAAGGCUAUUCAUGAAGAUGAAGAUGAAAAUAUUGAAAUUUGUUCAAAAAUAGUUCAAAAUAUUUUGGGAAAUGAACAUCAGCAUCUUUAUGCCAAGAUUCUUCAUUUAGUCAUGGCAGAUGGAGCCUACCAAGAAGAUAAUGAUGAAUAAUCCUCAAAAUGUUUUUUAAUCCUCAACUAUAUGAAAGCAUUUGAAUUUGGCUUAUCAGAAUAACAAGCUUCAGUGGGAAAUACAGCAAUUAUUUAUUUAAAAAAUCAGAUUUAAGAUGGACUUUCUUAUUGCAUGAAAAAGAUGGAGAAACAUGCCAUUUUUCAAUGAAGAUUCUAAUAUUUUAUCUAUUUUGUUCAUUGAAUUCCAUGGUUAAAUCUCAUAAAAUAUAUACUUUAUUAAAUCAUCCAACCAAAGCGUAGGAAACAUUGACCCAGAACCUGACUUAAUGGUUUUGAAGAUUUACUAUGCAAUAGGGUAACUUUGAGUUUCAGCAAAUGUCUUUAGGUUGAAGGAAUUACCUAUGUCAUGAAGGACCUGUCUGUGGUUUUUCAAUGGAGUCUUUAAGCAUGAUAUUUUUUCUGUCUAGUACUUGUUUUCAUUCUGGCCAGCAGUUCUACAUUAAAUCACCUUGUCAAGGGCUCUGUUUAUGUCUAUACAUUUUGAAGAUGAAAUUUUUAGCCUUAAAGUUUAUAUUCUCAAGUCGUUUUACAAUCAGUGUGUCUCCUGAACUAGCACACAGGCUGUAGAAACAGUCUUAGAAAUCAUUGAAAGAUUUGAUUAUGAAAGAAUAGCAAGAUUAUAUUUCUUGACAUAUAAAAAGUUGGUUUAAUACCUUUAUUUCUCUUUAAGGACCAGAACCAGGAAUACUAUAUCGAAAAAUUAGUCUGUGGAUUUAACAUUGACUUAGCAUAUAGCUUAAAGUUGCUCUUUUGGUUUUUAACUUCCUCCAUACAUAAGCUUCAAGGACAAUAAGAUGUUAAAAAGGAGGAAAUAAUUAUUUUUAUUUUGACACUGUGACAGUUUUGGUAACUAGGAUCCUAGGGAGGGAAAUGUUUGCCUGUUGAACUUCUUUCUGUUAUGAGAGGAUUUAGUUAGGUCAUUAAGAUGAUGAUCACACAGCUUCAAUCACAAUAUGCCAAGUAUAACCUGGUUUCGUUAGAGGUGUCUACAGUCCAGAUGUUCUUCGUAAUAAAAGCAAAGUUUUUGAACCUCUGAGUCCAAAGCAGGCUGGUUGGCAUAAUAUGUAAUUUGAAAAAUAAAAUCUUAUCUUGCAGCACUAUCAGUAUGUUGAAUUUAUUAUGUAUAUUAUUUCUAAUAUCUGAAACUAAAUACUUGAUUUUUUAAUAUGUGUGUUUAUUUUAUGAUAUUGCUAUUAAAUUUUUAUUGUCUACCUGAAGUAUAUCGAUUGUCUUUUAUUUAUUAUUUUACUUUUCUCAAUAGAAGGCUUUUACAUCAAGCUGAUAAUACUUUUGUUGGUUUUGUACCUGAUGAUUUCUUUCUUCAUAAUGGAAGAAAAUGAAUUCAGUACUUUAAUUCUUUACAAUCCUGAAAGAUGGGCAUGAUUUUGGGGAGGUUAUUUAUUAAUUCUUAAACUAUUACAACUAUUAGAAAAGGGUAUAAUAUGGUAGAAAAAAAUUGUUUUAGCCAUAUUUCAAAAGAUGUUAUAUAUGUGCAGGAAUAAGGAUGAUCAAUAAGAUUUGUGCCAUCUCCAGUCGAUUAGCAGUGUGUGACUCUGGAGUGUUGUUAUGGAAAGAUUAUGCCAGUGAGGAAAAGGGCUAUUUUUCAGUAAGGUCUAUUAUAAGUGUUGGAAUU
rnacentral:sRNA from 1 species